UUUGCAUUGCAGAUUUACUGUAUGUACACACGUCAGUCUUCCUCAUCCUCCUCAUCAUUUUCAGGGGUCACACAGCACUGAAUUUCAUGAGUGGCUGAGCAAUGAAAACAGAAUGAGAAAUUAGACAGUUAAUAUCCACAUUGACUUCAGGCUGACCUGACAUGACACCCAGCUAUACUGCCUAAUGACAUAUUGACUGACUGUUUUGAUUAUAUUGAAGACAAAAGCCUGAAGUUAAAACAUACAGGCUAAAGACCAUAAAAAAGAAAAAGAAAAAACAACUCAGUCAUCUUUUUUCCAUUCUGGUAGAUUUAAAAUGAUUUAAAAGAUCAUAGCCUAGCCCUUGUGUUUUCCUGGUGUUUUUCCUCUCAGUCUGUCUGUGUGUGUGGUGUAGGCGUGUUUGUUCUCUGGCUCUCUCUCCCUCCACACCUGCUGCUUAGUAUGGAAUCAGCUCACCUGCCUGUCAUCAAGCCAUCAUCACUCCACUACAAGGAGAUUGCACAGACAGCCAGUCCCUGCCGAAUUGCCAUGCCAUUCACGGAAUACCUGCCUGCUUGCCCGCCAAGUCAGCUCUCAUCCUAGAAAUUGGACAUUUCUCAGACUCUUCCCCCUCACCUCAGCCCUAACAUCAGCCAGCCUCCAUCUCACCAUCUGUACCUGCUCAAGCAAAUGAAGACUUAUUCACUUAUUUCACCAUUACCUACUAGUACAGUGUUUGCAUUUGGGUUCACCUGCUCAAUCCCACAUGACAAGAGAAAGCAUUUGUGGAAGAAAUCUUAUGCAUGAAAGGCUUGCUGAUAUACAGUUCUUAUAUACAGUAAUAUAAUUCUGCGCUUCAAAAAGCCUAUUUAGUUUCCUCUCAUUUCCAAGGGAAAUUUUGCACUUUAUUAAAUGGCAACCUCUCACUCUUGAGAUCAUUCACAUGUGUGAUGGGAGCUGCCAUGAGUAGUUAGUACCUGUAGUAACAGACCAAUUCAUUAAUAAUUGUUUUGAAGUUGACAUUUUCACUGCAAAAGGUCCAAUUAAAUAAAUCAGUGUACUUUUG